UGAAGCUGGGACAAAGUAUUGCGACCAAGGAUCACUGGAUCUGCCGGCGGACAGUGCGGCUGCAACUUUCCUGCCAGCUGAUGAACCGUCGGUGGCGUUCGUAAGCGUAGAGGCACAUAUUUGUAAGGUACGGGCCGCCGUGUUGGGGAGACGAGAGAGCUCACCCAGCUGUCUGAACUGUGACCGGGAACAUGAAACCCGCAGGCGUCGAGAUGGUCUAAAAGUUUUGCAGUUGAGAUGGAGGUAGCAUCCCGUGCACUUGCUUUGAAUGUCAGUGUGGGUUUUGUUCACCAGGUUAUUGACAUCUCUGACGAUGAAAGCAACGAUGAAGUUGGAUAUGGAAGAAUGGUCUGAUGAUCCUGAGCAGGCAAAGCUGGUUGAGACGACAAAAAGAUGAGGGAGCAAGAGCAGAAAGAUGCAAAUGUCACGAAGAUGCAUCAAGAAAUGUACUAUCAAAAUAAAAGUCCACGAGAAGAAGAUCGUGAGGUCACAAUGAUGAUUCAAAAACUGUAUGA